rnacentral:pre_miRNA from 10 species
CACUGAAGCAUCAACCCGGUAGUACGAUAUGUGAACUGUAUAAUACUGCCUGGUAAUGAUGAUUCAGUG